AAAAAGAUAAGCUAAUCAAGCUAUCGGGUUCAUACCUCGUCCAUAGGGGUAAUAAUCCCCUUCUUUUUA
rnacentral:tRNA from 1 species